GAUCAGCACUUGGGGUGGUCCAGGAGGGGAUGGAGGGUUGGUUGGGGGGGUCUCAGGAGGGGUUGUAGGGUGGGUUUGGGUGGUCCAGGAGGGGUUGUCAUUAGACGCACCUGGCAUCCAUCAUUAGACGCACCUGACAUCCAUCAUUAGACGAACCUGGCAUCAAUCAUUAGACGCACCUGGCAUCAAUCAUUAGACACACCUGGCAUCCAUCAUUAGAUGCACCUGGCAUCAAUCAUUACACGCACCUGGCAUCCAUCAUUAGACGCACCUGGCAUCAAUCAUUAGAUGCACCUGGCAUCAAUCAUUAGACGGGUUUGGCAUCCAUCAUUAGACGCACCUGGCAUCCAUCAUUAGACGCACCUGGCAUCCAUCAUUAGACGCACCUGGCAUAAAUCAUUAGACGCACCUGGCAUCAAUCAUUAGACACACCUGGCAUCCAUCAUUAGAUGCACCUGGCAUCAAUCAUUACACGCACCUGGCAUCCAUCAUUAGACGCACCUGGCAUCAAUCAUUAGAUGCACCUGGCAUCAAUCAUUAGACGCACCUGGCAUCCAUCAUUAGACGCACCUGGCAUCCAUCAUAAGAAGCACCUGGCAUUAAUCAUUAGACGCAACUGCGCUUCAUCAUGAGGCACACCUGGACUCCAUUACCUCACUCAUUACCUCCCCUUUAUCUGGCACUACCUUAGGUUCAUUCCCAUCAGUAUUGACUAUGGCAUUCAUGUCUGUAGGUUACUCUUGUUCCCCAGGCAGUAUUGACUAUGGUUCAUGUCUGUAGGUUACUCUUGUUCCCCAGGCAGUAUUGACUAUGUUUCAUGUCUGUAGGUUACUCUUGUUCCCCAGGCAGUAUUGACUAUGUUUCAUGUCUGUAGGUUACUCUUGUUCCCCAGGCAGUAUUAACUAUGUUUCAUGUCUGUAGGUUACUCUUGUUCCCCAGGCAGUAUUGACUAUGUUUCAUGUCUGUAGGUUACUCUUGUUCCCCAGGCAGUAUUGACUAUGUUUCAUGUCUGUAGGUUACUCUUGUUCCCAGGCAGUAUUAACUAUGUUUCAUGUCUGUAGGUUACUCUUGUUCCCCAGGCAGUAUUGACUAUGUUUCAUGUCUGUAGGUUACUCUUGUUCCCCAGGCAGUAUUGACUAUGGUUCAUGUCUGUAGGUUACUCUUGUUUCCUGUAUUGGUCCAUAUUCCGUUUAUUAUUAAACUCACCACUUGCUUCCA